rnacentral:rRNA from 1 species
GUGUCAGCAGCCGCGGUAAGACGAACCGUGCUAACGUUGUUCGGAAUCACUGGGCUUAAAGGGCGCGUAGGCGGGCCGGCCAGUCUGUGGUGAAAUCCCCCGGCUCAACCGGGGAAUUGCCAUGGAUACUGCCGGCCUCGAGGAGGGUAGGGGCGUCUGGAACGAGCGGUGGAGCGGUGAAAUGCGUUGAUAUCGCUCGGAACUCCGGUGGCGAAGGCGGGACGCUGGACCCUUUCUGACGCUGAGUGCGCGAAAGCCAGGGGAGCAAACGGGAUUAGAUACCCCGGUAGUCCUGGCCCUAAACGAUGAGGACUAGAUAGCGGACCGGACAUGGGUUCGCUGUCGGAGCAAAAGUGUUAAGUCCUCCGCCUGGGGAGUAUGGUCGCAAGGCUGAA